UGAAGCAAAUUAAGGGCAUACGGUGAAUGCCUUGGCACAAAAGACCGAUGAAGGACGUAGUAGGUUGCGAUAAGCUCUGGGUAGCUGCCAAACGAGCAUUAAUCCAGAGAUUUCCGAAUGGGGUAACCCGGCUAGGCUUAUACCUAGUCGCCAUAUAGUAAAUUCAUAGCUGUAUGUGCGGGAAUGCAGGGAAGUGAAACCUCUCAGUACCUGCAAGAAAAGAAACCAAUAGGUUAUUUCCUGAGUAGUGGCGAGCGAAAAGGAAAAAGCUUAAACUCAUAUUGUGUAAGAGGGAUACAAAUCCUGAUUCGCGUUGCGAUGAGGGAAGAGUUGAACUCGUAGGUUGUCGCUCGUGCAAUAUGGGGGUUGUAAGAAUCAGUUGACCAGGCGACAAACUGGUCGGGAAGUUACAAAGUUUAAUCUUAAUAGAACAUAUCUGGAAAGAUAGACCAUAGAAAGUGAAAGUCUUGUAUAUGAAAAGAUUAAGACUUCCUUCUGAUUUCUUAAGUACCACGGAGCAAGUGUAAUUCUGUGGGAAUCUACCAAGACCACUUGGUAAAGCUAAAUAUCUUUUGUGACCGAUAGUGAAGUAGUUCCGUGAGGGAAAGGUGAAAAGUACCCCUGUUAGGGGAGUGAAAUAGAACUGAAACCGUGUGCUUACAAACAGUCGGAGCUGGUAUAUCCAGUGACGGCGUGCCUAUUGAAGAAUGACCCGGCGAGUUAGUUGUGUGCGGCAAGGUUAACCAUGUUUAUUGGGGAGCCGAAGCGAAAGCGAGUUUGAAUAGAGCGUUUUGUUAAUCUUUUGAUUAGCAAAUAGUCGCAUGCACUAGACCCGAAACCAGGUGAUCUAACCCUGAGCAGGAUGAAAGAGUAAGAAAUUACUCCGGAGGUCCGAACUCUUUAAUGUUACAAAAUUAUGAGAUGACUCAAGGUUAGCGGUAACAUGCCAAACGAACCUGGUAAUAGCUGGUUCUCCCCGAAAUAGCUUUUGGGCUAGCGUUGUAAGUUAAUCAUUGGGGGUAGAGCACUGAUUGGAUCUGAGGCUCGAAAGAGUACUCAAUCCAGUCAAACUCCGAAUACCAAUGAGAAUAUUACAGCAGUCAGAACCUGGGAUCUAAGUUCCAGCGUUCAAGAGGGAAACAGCCCAGAUUGUCAGAUAAGGACCCUAAAUUACAUCUUAGUGGGAAAGGAAGUGGAGUUUCUCAGACAGCUAGGAGGUUGGCUCAGAGGCAGCCAUCCUUUAAAAAGUGCGUAAAAGCUUACUAGUCAAGAGAUUCUGCGCUUAAGAUUCAACGGGGCUGAAGAUGUAUUCCGAAGCUGCAAAUUUAUCUAUCAUUUAUGAUUUUUAAGUGGUAGGGGAGCGUUCUAUACAUGAUCAAAUUAGCAUUUGAUAAUUAGCUGUGAAGGUGGCCUGAAAGGAGCUGCUGGAGCGUAUAGAAGUGAGAAUGCCGGGAUGAGUAACGUAAAGCAGGUGAAAACCCUGCUCGCUGAAUGUCUAAGGUUUCCAUGGCUAUGGCAGUCAACCAUGGGUUAGUCGGUCCUAAGGAGAGGCUGAAAAGCGUAUCCGACGGACAACAGGUUAAUAUUCCUGUACUAUUGAUAUUUGCAAUGGAGCUUGAGAAUUGAAAAGGCGGGCCUCUAAUUGGUUUGAGGUGCAAGCAGUUAGUUAGUUUUCCUAGGUAAAUCCGGGAAAAUGUUUUCCACUUUGUGGAAUGAAAACGAGCUGUGAUACAAAGGGGACCUUCGGGAAUCCAAUCCGUCAUAUUAAUUCUCCAGGAAAAACUUCUAGCAGUUUACUUCGGUAAACAAAAAUAUCAGUAACCGUACUGCAAUCCGACACUGGUGGACUGGUGUAAAUGCACCAAAGCGUACGAGUGAUGCGUUGUUAAGGAAUUCGGCAAAUUCACCCCGUAAGUUCGCAAGAAGGGGGACCUUCCGUUACAAGAUUUUUUCUAGUAACGAUGAAGGUGGCACAGAAUAGGGAGGAGCGACUAGUUACCAAAACUACAGGCGCUUGCAAAUUCGUAAGAAGAUGUAUAAGUGCUGACGCCUGCCCAAUGCCAGAAGGUUAAGGAAGUUUGUCAACCGUCUGCUAGAUGCACUUCGGUGCUCUAGUGGUGGUGAAGCGGACAACCAAAGCCCUGGUCAAUGGCGGCUGUAACUAUGAACCAAUAUCGAAUAUUUUCGAUAUCUUGUAGUUGUAAAAUUUGGCUAUAUGCUGGAACAUCUGAGUAUUUCUAAUUACUAGAUUUAAAGAUAUUUUAAUCUUUAUCAGUGAUAAUAUUAGAAUGCAGACAAUCAGCAGGAAAGAUCCAAAACCUAUAUCUUUAGAAAAUGCUUUAUACAUAGUUGGAUUUGUAGAUGGAGAAGGAAGUUUUAAUAUCUCUUUCAAAAUUCGAACAGAUUAUGCUAAUAGAAUACAAGUUUACCCAAGCUUUAACAUCUCUCAAAAAGAGAGGGGCAUUUUAGUUUGGAUUCAAAAUCAAUUUGGUUGUGGUACAAUUCGCAAUCGAGGAGAUGGAGUGUAUUACUAUGAAGUACAUAAUCUAAGAAAAUUAAAGGAGAGAAUAAUACCUUUCUUUGAUAGAUACAAAUUAAGAACUAAAAAGAAAAUAGCAUUUGAGGUAUUUUCUAAAACUAUUGAAAUAAUCUCUUCGAAAAACCUUGAGUGGAUAGAUAUUAAGAAUAUCUAUGUCUUAAGAGAGGAGGUUGUAGUAGGUAGAAAAAGAAAAUACUCAUUAAAAGAUUUAGAGAAGUUUUGGAAAUCCUCAGAGACUACACGCCAAAUCCCAUAAUCGAUUAGAUGAUGGGAAUGAUAUAGUCCGAUCUGUAUGGCGACAUACAGAGGUAUGUAGAAAUAUAUACCCAAUCUAUAUUUAUAGAUUAGUAACAUGAAUGA
rnacentral:rRNA from 1 species